GUCAACGCCCCGUAGCGCGUCGUCCUGGAGUGGAUCGAUGUACGCCGUGGUGUAAACACCAGUCCCCACCACCAACCAAUACCAGCGGCAGUACAUUUGGAUCUGCUGCCGCUACUGCUCCUUCCUGGUCUGGAGUCUGGACACCUCACUCCGCCAGUCCGCCUCCCCCUCCACCUCCUCCAGUGCCCCUAGGGUUCCCCUCUCGGCUGCUCGCGUGCCGCGGGGUUCCGAGGAGGGUUGUGCUGCUCGUUGCUCCGGGGUCACCCGAAUCAGGCCUCGCCGGAGCCUAUUUCCUCGGGCGGUUUGGGCGUUUCUGGGCUCUAGAUCGAGGUCUGCUAGCUCGCUGCACUCAAUGCCACAGAGGUUGGGCGUCAAUUGCUAGGGUUUUGCUCGCGGAUUUGCGGAGAGAGAGAGAGCCGGGGAUCGUCUCGAAUGCGGCGGCAUAUCCGCGGUCCGUUGCUUGGUUUGGUUUUCUCAGAGCAGCGCAUCCUCGAUUUGGUUUCCUGCUAAACUCGUGAAGGCGAGGAGGAGGGGUUUUGGGGGAGAAUUUGGUGAUUCGGUUGCAAUAUCUGGGUCUAGCUCAAGUGGGUGGCUGUCACCGGCGUCUGGCGGCGGAGACUCUGAGCCGAGGUCCGCGGGGAGCAGGACCAGGUCUGUGUCUGCUAUCCGGGGCUGGAAGGCGUCACAGAGGCAUGGGAGGGAUUCCGUCGCCACAGCAGCAGUGGAAGAGAAGAAGCCAGCUGCCGUGCCUACAUUGCUGCCGUCCCUCAGCGUACCCACAGGGAUGCGCCGGCAGGAGCUGCUGCGCUCAGGGUUCUCUCUUGACGUGUCGUGCUCAUUGGACGCGUCGACGGACUCGUUCUGCAGCCGAGCGUCCACAGGGCGGAUUGGGAGGCCGGUGUUCGGGCCGAGGAAGAAGAAGGCCAUCUCUUAGACUGAUCAUAAGCUUCUCCGGGUUACGCUUCUGGUCUGAAGAGGAGGUGUGCGUGGGUGACAGCAAAUACAGGUGCGUAUUUUUCCGCAUUUUCUUUAACCACUGCCCUGUUGAACAUACAAGCCUGCAAUUCAUCUAGCACAAUCGUUUUUGUACUGCGGUAGUGUUUUUGUUGUAGGAAGAGGUAAUCUCCAUCAGAUCUACUCCCUCCAUUCCCAUGUAAUCGACAUGAGCUACUCCCGGCCUAUGUAGUAUGCACGUACACGUGCACGUUGAUGAAAUCGCCGAGGGACUACAAUUCAGAUUAGAGGUUCCAUUUUUUGUUGAGUAUAAAAUGCUUCUAGAUCCUAGAUGAUGCCAACCUGGGACCAGGACUUUAUCAUUAAUUUUUGUUCAAAGCAUUGCAGGGCUCUCUGAUCUUUAGAAUUUCAACUGUUAUGAAGAGAUGUUAUUUCUGUGUGUUAUAUACUUAAGUUGCAAUGACUAAGAAUAUGAUCAAGUAGCAUUGGCCUUCAUCAUACAUCUAAAGAUGCAUCGGCCUUCUCUACUGCUGAUCAUGGUUGGUCUGUACCAGACUGCACCACAGUUGGAUUAAAGGUGUCUUUCCCAUUACGGAAUAUAUAUUGUCAUGAUCUAUACAGAGAAAAGUUUUAGAAGUAGUUUAGGAUGAAUGGACAUUACCUCAAUAUUUGCUAGGGAAUUUCUGUUUCUUCUACAACAAAUGGUCAUUGUUAUUGUGAUGGGAUUGUAAAUUACUGUUUUCCCUCUUAAACUAGCUCAUGAUUGCAUAAAAAUGCUUAGGUAAAUUAUUGGUAUUUUCUGGACAAAUCAAUUCAUUUUUUGAUUAUUUUUUAUGUUACUUAUUUAUGAAAGGUUCUUCACGACUUCCAUUGGAGACGUUAGUUACUGGUAUCAUCACACAUCUAAAGGUGCAUAUGGACCUUCUCCACUGUAGAUCAUUGUUGGCCUGUACCAGACUGCGCAACAGUUGGAUUGAACGUAUCGCUGCCAUUACGAAAUAUUAUGAUGGCACUAUGGCAGUUAGUGGUCCAUUAUCUAUAGAGCGUUUUCUCUACAGAACAAUGUUUGUUCACAUUCCAAGGGGAUUUCGUGGAUCGGCUCCUUCAUGCUCAGUUUCUAGGAGAGCACUAGCAGUGUAUAUGGAACAUCGUUGGCAGGUCAGUUGAUAUUGACCAUUCUAAUGGUGGCGACCUGUGUACCUGGGUAUACUACAAUUCAUUUGAGUGUGUCGAGGGCAACAAAACUAAAUUUAAUUGAUAUUGUGAAAAUUUUCCCUUAAAGGCUUACAUACAUUUUCCUACUACAGUUCAGAUAUUCAGCAAACAUCCUCCGUCCAAUGCUCCCUUUGAGUCUUGGUUCAGGAAGUGGCUCUUAAUUUUUGGUGUUGGUGUCUUGCGAGAUUCAUUAAAUGUUCAGGAACAAAAUUUAUUUUGGCACUUGGUACACACGGUUUUUUGCUCAUUAACAUCAUAUACCAAAUUGUUUAGUGUUCUGAAUUAUUGGAGGUACACUCAGUUUGAGAUCGGUUUUCUUAGUGCCAACUCCAGUUCAUGGUGGCAUGUUCUUUCCAGGUAGUGUUUAACUGCAUAUUGUUAUUGUAACACACCAUGAUUAUGUGUCGUUAAUUUUUGCGGCUGGUGUCUUGCGAGAUUCAUGAUUAUGUGUCUUCUAUCCGGUCAUCACGGCCAGCAGGACAACAGGGGCAUAGCCUACUGGCCUACAUCACAACGUUCUCCUCCAUGUUUUAAGAGUUAAUGGAGUUCACGGAGGCACAUGCCAAAGAGGCGGGAGCCAGCGAGAAAGAUAAAGAUCUCAAUGGAGCUAGAAGGUGGACUGGCGCUCAUGAGCAAGCUGCAGAUGUUUUAAUUAAAAGAUAACCAAAGCAAGAAUUUAAAUAGGUUAGAUGGUCUUUAGAACUCACAAAGGAUUCACAUGAUAUAACUUUUUCGUUUCGGAAACUAUUACAAUUCUUCCUGGUGAGUACUUCAAGUAGAAGAUGGAAACAUAGGAACAUGUGCUAAGAGGCGAAGCAACAUAAUCCAGUUCAGUGGCAUGGCUUUCUCUAUUUUCUUAGAAAAUCGGGGUGAUUCUUCUGUUUGCUGCUACAAUCCCCGAGUGAAUAAUGAGCUUUUCUCAUGUCACAAA